UUUCAGUCGUGAGAAACUAUUGAGAGCAGCCGUCCGACAUAUCAAAGAGCCGAUCCAUUGUUCUUUGUGGUGUCCUUCGAUCCAUUCCAUCCCUUGUCCGAUCUUGAGAGAGACACACGUCCAGCAAGAGCCGGAACCACAACUAUCCUUCAAACCAUCCGUUGAUCUUGUUGAGAGAGACACACGUCCAGCAACAGAUUCCAUCCGCUAUUCUUCUCUUUCUCUCUGUCCUUGUUUUUAGAUUUCAUUCUCCUUUCCUUCAAAACCCAUAAAAAUCAUAUCUUGUCCAUUUAUCAUUUGUCCAAUAGCUUCUCUGUUUCUGUUCUUAGUUCUACCGUAAACUCACCAAAGCUCAUACUUGAUUCAGGUACAAACGCCAACAAGAGACGACCCGGCCGGUACCAUCCAUCCGAGCCAAAGACUGACCCGCGGAACAGCCAUCAGUCCGUCCGUCCGUCCGUCCGUUCGACCCUCGACCCGUGCCUACAACAUUUUGGUAUCAGAGCUGAAGUUUCCUGCGAAACUCAGUUCUUUCUGAACCCUAGCCGUCACAAUUCCAAAAAAAAUAUAUAUAUAUUUACUUUCCUUUUUUUUAAGUUUUCGGAUUGUUUUCCAAGUUUUCGAUUUUGCAUUUAAAAAAAAAAAAAAAAAAAAAAAAUUGUAGAAGUUUUACUUUCUUUCCAAGUUUUCGAAAAUUCAAAAAAAAUAUUCCUCUUUCCUUUUUCAACUUGAUUCGAUUUUUACCAUAAAUUUUUGCAUUUACUCUUGGCCUUGGUCGAUACUCAAAAGUAUCCGACCCAAGCA
rnacentral:lncRNA from 1 species